rnacentral:tRNA from 4 species
GGGCCCAUAGCUCAGUUGGUUAGAGCAGAGGACUCAUAAUCCUUUGGUCCACGGUUCAAGUCCGUGUGGGCCCACCA